rnacentral:rRNA from 1 species
GAUGAACGCUGGCGGCGUGCCUAAUACAUGCAAGUCGAGCGAACAGACGAGGAGCUUGCUCCUCUGACGUUAGCGGCGGACGGGUGAGUAACACGUGGAUAACCUACCUAUAAGACUGGGAUAACUUCGGGAAACCGGAGCUAAUACCGGAUAAUAUAUUGAACCGCAUGGUUCAAUAGUGAAAGACGGUUUUGCUGUCACUUAUAGAUGGAUCCGCGCCGCAUUAGCUAGUUGGUAAGGUAACGGCUUACCAAGGCGACGAUGCGUAGCCGACCUGAGAGCGUGAUCGGCUACACUGGAACUGAGACACGGUCCAGACUCCUACGGGAGGCAGCAGUAGGGAAUCUUCCGCAAUGGGCGAAAGCCUGACGGAGCAAAGCCGCGUGAGUGAUGAAGGUCUUCGGAUCGUAAAACUCUGUUAGUAGGGAAGAACAAAUGUGUAAGUAACUAUGAACGUCUUGACGGUACCUAAUCAGAAAGCCACGGCUAACUACGUG